ACCUGUUGGCACCUCGCAGCCUUCCCCUGACUGAUGAGUUGACAGGUACCAUCUCCAAAGGACGGAGAGAAGCACAGGCAGGGACACACACUGCAGAGUGGAACACGGGAUGGAAUUCCAAAAAGCUUCGAAAGUCAUGGGAAGCCAAGAGCCCCAAGAAAAGAUUGGUACAGAAUGGCUUGGUUGGAAAGGAUACCUGCAAACAUGCAGAAGAAAGGAAGCUGUCCUAGAGUCCAGGUUAGUGAUGGGGUCCUUGGAAUUGGGUGGGGGUGGUGAAGAUGGGAA
rnacentral:lncRNA from 1 species